CGACCGCACGUCAACGGCGCCGCCAUAUUGGUGCGGGCAACUCUCCAUAAAUCUCAUUUCGGGACAGAAGAAAACAUACCUGACUCGUCGGCAGCUUGGGCAUCACAGACCGUCGCACAAUAAUCUAUUGAUCUGCUCCUCUUACUGUACAGCGAUCACAAUCACACCUUCAGUGAAGCUCCUCCCACAACAAUCACACCUUUAGUGAAGCUCCUCCCACAACAAUCACAGCUUCAGUGAAACUCCUCCCACUGCAGUUCAGCAAUAAAUGCUGGAAUAUUCCCAUCAGUCUACAAGUGAAGACGAGCAUCAGAGCAUCAGGAAGAAGUGAAAUCUGCAGAGACAGAGUUUAUCGAAGGACAGAGAGAACAUGAGAGAUCCAGAACCCUGCAGAAUGAAACACACUGAAGAACAAACAGAACUGAAUGAAGAGGAGGAGAGACAUCAUGUCAAAACUGGAGAAAAACCUUUGAGUCGCUCUCAAACCAAACAGAAAGAUUUAAAGAAAAGAAGAGAUGAGAAAUCUUUCACCUGCACUCAGUGUGGAAAGAGUUUUACAAGCAAACAGAAUCUUGAGGUUCACAUGAGGAUCCACACUGGAGAGAAACCAUUCACAUGUGAUCAGUGCGGGAAGAGUUUCACAGAAUCAUCAUCCCUUAAGGUGCACAUGAACAUCCACACUGGAGAGAAACUGCAUGAAUGUGAUCAAUGCGGCAAAACAUUUUUGAGAGCUUCACACCUGAAGGAUCACCUGAAAGUUCAUUCAAAGAUGAAACCACAUUCAUGUUCUUUAUGUGGAAAGAGUUUUUCACAUCUGCAGAGUUUAAAAGUUCAUCAGAAGAUACACACUGGUGUGAGAGAUCAUAUGUGUUUUGAGUGUGAGAAGACUUUUAUUACAGCUCAACAAUUAAAACGGCACCAGAGGAUCCACACUGGAGAGAAACCUUACAUGUGUUCACACUGCAACAAGACAUUCAGUCAUUCAGGACCGUUGAAAACACAUGAGAGGAUCCACACUGGAGAGAAACCUUACAAGUGUUCACACUGUAACAAAAGAUUCAGACGAUCAGGAGACCUGAAAUCACACGAGAGGACCCACACUGGAGAGAAACCUUACAUGUGUUCACACUGUGACAAGACAUUCAGUCGGUCAGGAGACCUGAAAACACAUGAGAGGAUUCACACUGGAGAGAAACCUUACAAGUGUUCACACUGCAACAAAAGAUUCAGUCAGUCAGGAGACCUGAAAUCACAUGAGAGGAUCCACACUGGAGAGAAACCCUAUCACUGUACUGCAUGUGGGAAGAGUUUCGCUCAUUCAUUUUCUCUUCGCAUGCAUACAAAAAACAGUCACAAGUUGACUGAAGAAAACGAGGAUAAUGAAGAGGACAAGAAACAUCAUGUCAAAACUGGAGAAAACUGGAGUCACUGUCAAACCAAACAGAAAGAUUUAAAGAAGAUAAGAGAUGAGAAAUCUUUCACUUGCACUCAGUGUGGAAAGAGUUUUACAAACAAACAGAAUCUCGAGAUUCACACGAGGAUCCACACUGGAGAGAAACCGUUCACAUGUGAUCAGUGUGAGAAGAGUUUCACACAAAAAGUACACCUUAAGAUUCACAUGAGGAUCCACACUGGAGAGAAACUGUUCACAUGUGAUCAGUGUGGAAAAACAUUUUUGAGGGCUGAAGGCCUGAUGAAUCACCUGAAAGUUCAUUCAAAGGAGAAACCACAUUCAUGUUCUAUGUGUGAAAAGAGUUUUUCACUCCUGAAGACUUUAAAAGUUCACCAGAAGAUACACGCUGGUGUGAAAGAUCACAUGUGCUUUGAGUGUGAGAAGACUUUUAUUACAGCUACAGAGUUGAAACAGCACCAGAGGAUCCACACUGGAGAGAAACCUUACAAGUGUUCACACUGCGACAAGAGAUUCAGUCUGUUAGGAACCCUAAAAUCACACGAGAGGACCCACACUGGACAGAAACCGUAUCACUGCACUGCAUGCGGGAAGAGUUUCACUCGAUCAUCAUCUCUUCACAUGCAUACAGAAAAGAAUCACAGUGCCGCUUUUGAAGCAUUAAAAGCUCACAAACAAUGCUUUAAAUGAAAUCGACCGAUCACCGCAGAUUAGCGUCACGCAAAGGAGGGGUUUGGAAAAAUGAGUCGUUUGGGAGUUCUUGAGCAAAUAAGAAUUGAAGAAAGCAAGGAGAAUGAAGAACUGAGUGAAGAGGAGGAGAAACAUCAUGUCAAAACUGGAGAAUAUUUUUCGCUCUCAAACCAAACAGAAAGAUUUAAAGAAAAGAAGAGCCAAGAAAUAUUUCACCUGCUCUCAGUGUGGAAAGAGUUUGACCAGCAAACAGAAUCUCGAGAUUCACAUGAGAGUUCAUACUGGAGAGAAACCGUUCUCAUGUGAUCUGUGCGGGAAAGGUUUUAGAACAUCAUCAAACCUUAAGAACCACAUGGACAUCCACACUGGAGAGAAACUGUAUGGAUGUGAUCAGUGUGGAAAAACAUUUUUGUGGGCUUCAGGCCUGAAGAAUCAUUUGAAAAUUAAUUCAAAGGAGAAACCUCAUUUAUGUUCUUUGUGUGGAAAGAGUUUUCACAACUGCAAAGAUUAAAAGUACAUCAGCAGAUACACACUGGUGUGAGAGAUUAUAUGUGCUUUGAGUGUGAGAAGACUUAGUAGCAAAGGUUUGGAGUUUUGGAGUAAUAUAAUAAAAAGAAAACAAGUAGAUAGAAUAGAAAAUUAAUAAGUAAUAUUGUUAGAGGGUCAGUUUUUUAAAAUAAAAAUAAAAGGUCAAAAGAAUAGAGAAUGCUAGUGUCAGAGUGUCAUUUUUGAUAAUGAAUAAAAAGAAAACAAGAUAGAAUAGAGAAAGCUAGUAUUAGAGGCUUUUUUUUUUUUUUUAAGAAAACAAUCAGAUAAAAAAUAAUAGAGAGUGCAAGCGUUUUUUUGUUUUGUUUUUGUUUUGUUUUUAUUAAAGGGGUCAUAUAAUGCUAUAUCCACUUUUACAAGUUGAUUGUACUGAAAUGUGUGUUGGCAGUGCCUGUACACAACCAUCCUAUUAUGAUACAAAUCCAUCCAGUGUUUUUAUUUUUAAUCUCCUAAUAUGUUUUCCCCUGUCUCAAAUCGAGCUGAUCGUCUUGUGACGUCACAAGAUUGGAGGCCCCUCCCACGAUUGUUGAUUGACAGGAGCGUUUCAACACAGACCCGCCCUGAUCGAGCUGUCAUCAUAGUCCGCCAUUGUUGAUACGCUGGAGCAGAAUGGCGUCUAAGCAAUCGUGGUGUUCUGUUAUUGGGUGUAAUAACGAACACAGCAGUCGUUUUGAUGUUACUAAAUCAGAACCGCUGAAGACGCAGUGGCUGAGUUUUGUUUUCGAAGGGAAUAGUCCUCCAGAUCAACCUCAAUUCUUUCAUGUUUGCGCGAAUCAUUUCUCACCAGACUGCUUUAUAAACGAGGGUCAGUUUAAAGCUGGUUUUGCCAAGAAGCUGCUCCUGAAAAAAGGAUCGGUACCAACUAUUCGUGUUCCUGCUGCACCUUCAGAAGAAGUGAGUGUAACGUUUUAUUAACCUUUUUAUUAAUCUUUGCUAAUUGCUUGCAUGUUUCACCAUGAAUGUGGCUAAAGUUUACACUAACUUUCAUUACGUGAAAUCAGGUGUUCAUUACGUGAAAUCAAGUGUUCAUUACGUGAAAUCAAGUGUACAUUACGGCAUGUUUUCUAUGUACGACGUUCUCAAUGUAAUUCAUAAUCCCAUGUUUGUAAUGAACAACGCGUUAUGGUUAUUGUGUUAUUAUAAACUGUGUACGCUGUGGUAAAGUUAACGUGGUAACAGUGCAUUAAGCUUACUUUUGUAGAUGGUUUAUAAUGGUGUCUGUUACUGAUUAAUAAGUAAUUUUAAAAAAGUGUUGUAAUAGUUGUAACUGUAUGAAGAUGAAUGGUAACUUUAACACAAUACCUGCAAAAUAAUGUUUACAUCCUGCAAAUGCAUAUGAUUCAAGACUAUAAAUACUUUGUGUCUCACUACGCUACCCUGCCAGUACAUACAAAGAUAGAUCAAAGUGACAUUACGUUAACCAACCAUUCAGAAACGUCCUGUUCGAGCCUCAAACCAAACAGAAAGAUUUAAUGAAAAGAAGAGCCAAGAAAUCUUUCACCUGCUCUCAGUGUGGAAAGAGUUUGACAAGCAAACAGAAUCUCGAGAUUCACAUGAGAGUUCAUACUGGAGAGAAACUGUUCUCAUGUGAUCUGUGCGGGAAAGGUUUUAGAACAUCAUCAAACCUUAAGGACCACAUGGACAUCCAUACUGGAGAGAAACCGUUCUCAUGUGAUCUGUGCGGGAAAGGUUUUAGAACAUCAUCAAACCUUAAGGACCACAUGGACAUCCAUACUGGAGAGAAACUAUUCACAUGUGAUCAGUGUGGGAAGAGUUUCAGAUAAUCACCACACCUUAAGAGACACAUGGACAUCCACACUGGAGAGAAGCUGUAUGGAUGUGAUCAAUGCGGAAAAACAUUUUCGUGGGCUUCAGGCCUGAAGAAUCAUCUGAAAAUUCAUUCAAAGGAGAAACCACAUUCAUGUUCUUUGUGUGGAAAGAGUUUUUCACAACUGCAAAGAUUAAAAGAACAUCAGAAGAUACACACUGGUGUGAGAGAUUGUAUGUGCUUUGAGUGUGAGAAGACUUAGUAGCAAGGGUUUAGACU